rnacentral:rRNA from 1 species
UACGUAGGGUCCGAGCGUUGUCCGGAAUUAUUGGGCGUAAAGGGCUCGUAGGCGGUUUGUCGCGUCGGGAGUGAAAACACGGGGCUUAACCCCGUGCCUGCUUCCGAUACGGGCAGACUAGAGGUAUGCAGGGGAGAACGGAAUUCCUGGUGGAGCGGUGAAAUGCGCAGAUAUCAGGAGGAACACCGGUGGCGAAGGCGGUUCUCUGGGCAUUACCUGACGCUGAGGAGCGAAAGUGUGGGGAGCGAACAGG